GACGAACGCUGGCGGCGUGCUUAACACAUGCAAGUCGAGCGAACAGACGAGGAGCUUGCUCCUCUGACGUUAGCGGCGGACGGGUGAGUAACACGUGGAUAACCUACCUAUAAGACUGGGAUAACUUCGGGAAACCGGAGCUAAUACCGGAUAAUAUAUUGAACCGCAUGGUUCAAUAGUGAAAGACGGUUUUGCUGUCACUUAUAGAUGGAUCCGCGCCGCAUUAGCUAGUUGGUAAGGUAACGGCUUACCAAGGCAACGAUGCGUAGCCGACCUGAGAGGGUGAUCGGCCACACUGGAACUGAGACACGGUCCAGACUCCUACGGGAGGCAGCAGUACGGAAUCUUCCGCAAUGGGCGAAAGCCUGACGGAGCAACGCCGCGUGAGUGAUGAAGGUCUUCGGAUCGUAAAACUCUGUUAUUAGGGAAGAACAAAUGUGUAAGUAACUAUGCACGUCUUGACGGUACCUAAUCAGAAAGCCACGGCUAACUACGUGCCAGCAGCCGCGGUAAUA
rnacentral:rRNA from 1 species